CCUUCUCCUCAACUGUAACCCUCUGCUCAUAGCCGAUAGGAUGCCUACCCAUUCAAGCGCGACUCGCCGCCAUUGGCGCUCCGUCAGCGUGUGCCCCGGAUCGGUGCCGCUCCGUACUCCGACCUGUGCUCUCCCUCCGUCGAGUCGUCGGGGAUUGAUCUGAUGACCUCCCUGCUGUGGGUUGGCGGCCGGAGCCCUCGAAAUUGGUCGUCGUGGUACUAACUCCUCCGUGUGUCCGUUGUGUGUCGUGACCAGAGCUGCGCACUGUCGGAAACUGG
rnacentral:lncRNA from 7 species